rnacentral:piRNA from 2 species
UUCCUAAGGAACCAUGGCGCUCCGACGGC